GGCCACCUUCGGGGGGCUACACCCGGGCACCGCUCAGCGAGCAAAGCCCACACACAGACAGGCGGGGCACGCACCCCGCUGCAAAGCAACGGAAGACAGAAA
rfam:Rhodobacterales bacterium HTCC2654 1099457000270 genomic scaffold, whole genome shotgun sequence.